rnacentral:ncRNA from 1 species
UAAAAGUUUUAUUCUUGCUUAAAAAUUUAUUAUUUGAAGAUAUUACAUGUAAAGUUUUAUGUGAAUCAGUGGUAUCUAAAAGAUAUUUUAUUAUUCGCAGUAUUUAAUAUUGAUGUUCAAGGAAAUUUGGAAUCAGUUAUUUGAUGUAUGAUUGGUUAAAAUCGUGCCAGCCACCGCGGUUAUACGAGAAAUAGGAAUAAAUUGUAUUGGUUUAGAGUUAAUUUGUUCAAUUAAGGUGAUGAUUAAUUUUAAAAGGUAAAAUUUGUUAAGUUAAUUAUAUUUUUAGAAUGGUUAAGUGAAGCUUUAAAAUCUUAUGUUUAAACUAGGAUUAGAUACCCUAUUAUUAUAAGAUAUAAAUAAUAAAAACUUGAGUAGUAUUAGUUAAGAUCUUGAAACUCAAAGAAUUUGGCGGUGUUUUAGUCUUUUCAGAGGAAUCUGUUCUGUAAACGAUAAUACACGAUAGAAUUUACUUGAUUUUGUAUAAUCAGCUUGUAUACCGUCGUCAUAAGACUAUCUUUACAGAGAAGGAAUUUUCCUAAUAUUAAUGGAUAAUAUGUCAGAUCAAGGUGCAGUUAAUGGUCAAGAAGAAAUGGAUUACAAUAAAUUUAUUUAUAUGGAUUUAUAUACUUUAAGUAUUGAUGAAGGUGGAUUUGAAAGUAAUAUUAUUUUUAUAUAAUGAUAUGAUUUAAGCUCUAUAACAUGCACACAUCGCCCGUCGCUCUCGUUAUUAAGAUGAGAUAAGUCGUAACAUAGUAGGUGUACUGGAAAGUGUACCUGGGUUGU